UUUUAAUGUUAUCAUCAAUGCCUUUUUUUAUUAGGAAUUAUUGCCAUCAAUGACUAUUUAUUGACGUUAAUUCCUUACUAAAUUAGACAUUAUCGUUAUUGAUUAUAGUCAUUGUCAACAUUGACUAGAUGUGAUCUUUUCCGGCAACAUUAUACAUACUUCGCAACAGUGUCACCGGUCGCGACAAUAUGGCGCGUGAUAAGACGUCAAGGUACGGAUAAUGACCGAUACAUAGUCCCUAUAAUACGUAUAUAUCGCCGAAAACGAUGAAGUUACAUUGCAUGUAAAUGUGUAAAAUAAACCCUCAAAGUUGAAGAUUGAAACAUCUCUUCAAUGGUGAUAAACGGACACAAAGAAAACAACAUACCAUUUUCAAACCAAUCAAUUUACACUUUGCUUUAAAUUCAAGAUUACUAAAAUGUUCAGCUUUUAAAUAGUUAAGUAUUGGAUUCAAAAAUAUUAACCUAAUAUAGCUUCAAAUUUUAAUUA